rnacentral:tmRNA from 1 species
GGGGGUGAUUGGAUUCGACGGGGUAGAGAAUGGAUAAAUCAGCAUACCGUGCUUGCCAUAACGCACGAUAAUCUCGUGGCAAAAACAUAAAUGCAGAUAACUACGGUUACGCACUUGCCGCUUAAUUAAGCCGCAAGCGCCGAUACAGUCUUCUCCUGAUGAGAUUGUAAAGGCGUCAACUUAGUCAGGAUAGUCUAAUGAAUUUCGUGGUGCAUUAGAUGAAAAUUUAUCCCAUGGAUAGCCUUGAGUGUUUCAAGUUUGGCUGAGAGCUUGAGGCGAAAAUAUUAGCCGAACUGAGUAUGGAGAAGAUUUAUUGGUUUUCACUUCGGACCGGGGUUCAAAUCCCCGCACCUCCACAA